rnacentral:rRNA from 1 species
UACGUAGGGUGCGAGCGUUGUCCGGAAUUACUGGGCGUAAAGAGCUCGUAGGUGGUUUGUCGCGUUGUUCGUGAAAUCUCACGGCUUAACUGUGAGCGUGCGGGCGAUACGGGCAGACUUGAGUACUGCAGGGGAGAAUGGAAUUCCCGGUGUAGCGGUGAAAUGCGCAGAUAUCGGGAGGAACACCGGUGGCGAAGGCGGUUCUCUGGGCCUUACCUGACGCUGAGGAGCGAAAGCGUGGGGAGCGAACAGG